rnacentral:rRNA from 1 species
UACGGAGGGUGCAAGCGUUAAUCGGAAUUACUGGGCGUAAAGCGCACGCAGGUGGCUGAGUCAGUCGAUUGUGAAAGCCCUGGGCUUAACCUGGGAAUUGCAGUCGAUACUACUCGGCUCGAGUAUGGGAGAGGGCAGUGGAAUUCCCGGUGUAGCGGUGAAAUGCGUAGAUAUCGGGAGGAACAUCAGUGGCGAAGGCGGCUGCCUGGCCCAAUACUGACACUCAGGUGCGAAAGCGUGGGGAGCAAACAGG